rnacentral:rRNA from 1 species
GAAUUCGCCCUUAGAGUUUGAUCCUGGCUCAGGACGAACGCUGGCGGCGCGCCUAACACAUGCAAGUCGAACGAGCGAGAGAGAGCUUGCUUUCUCGAGCGAGUGGCGAACGGGUGAGUAACGCGUGAGGAACCUGCCUCAAAGAGGGGGACAACAGUUGGAAACGACUGCUAAUACCGCAUAAGCCCACAGCUCGGCAUCGAGCAGAGGGAAAAGGAGCAAUCCGCUUUGAGAUGGCCUCGCGUCCGAUUAGCUAGUUGGUGAGGUAACGGCCCACCAAGGCGACGAUCGGUAGCCGGACUGAGAGGUUGAACGGCCACAUUGGGACUGAGACACGGCCCAGACUCCUACGGGAGGCAGCAGUGGGGAAUAUUGCACAAUGGGGGAAACCCUGAUGCAGCGACGCCGCGUGGAGGAAGAAGGUCUUCGGAUUGUAAACUCCUGUUGUUGAGGAAGAUAAUGACGGUACUCAACAAGGAAGUGACGGCUAACUACGUGCCAGCAGCCGCGGUAAAACGUAGGUCACAAGCGUUGUCCGGAAUUACUGGGUGUAAAGGGAGCGCAGGCGGGAAGGCAAGUUGGAAGUGAAAUCCAUGGGCUCAACCCAUGAACCGCUUUCAAAACUGUUUUUCUUGAGUAGUGCAGAGGUAGGCGGAAUUCCCGGUGUAGCGGUGGAAUGCGUAGAUAUCGGGAGGAACACCAGUGGCGAAGGCGGCCUACUGGGCACCAACUGACGCUGAGGCUCGAAAGUGUGGGUAGCAAACAGGAUUAGAUACCCUGGUAGUCCACACUGUAAACGAUGAUUACUAGGUGUUGGAGGAUUGACCCCUUCAGUGCCGCAGUUAACACAAUAAGUAAUCCACCUGGGGAGUACGACCGCAAGGUUGAAACUCAAAGGAAUUGACGGGGGCCCGCACAAGCAGUGGAGUAUGUGGUUUAAUUCGACGCAACGCGAAGAACCUUACCAAGUCUUGACAUCCUGCGACGCACAUAGAAAUAUGUGUUUCCUUCGGGACGCAGAGACAGGUGGUGCAUGGUUGUCGUCAGCUCGUGUCGUGAGAUGUUGGGUUAAGUCCCGCAACGAGCGCAACCCUUAUGGUCAGUUACUACGCAAGAGGACUCUGGCCAGACUGCCGUUGACAAAACGGAGGAAGGUGGGGAUGACGUCAAAUCAUCAUGCCCUUUAUGACUUGGGCUACACACGUACUACAAUGGCGUUAAACAAAGAGAAGCAAGACCGCGAGGUGGAGCAAAACUCAGAAACAACGUCCCAGUUCGGACUGCAGGCUGCAACUCGCCUGCACGAAGUCGGAAUUGCUAGUAAUCGCAGAUCAGCAUGCUGCGGUGAAUACGUUCCCGGGCCUUGCACACACCGCCCGUCA